AAAUCAAAAACAAUAUUGACAAGAUUUCAAUAAAAUGAUAACCUAAUAAGGUAGUUGUUUUUAAAUAAUAUUAGCGCGGGAUGGAGCAGUUCGG
rnacentral:ncRNA from 1 species